UACGAAGGGGGCUAGCGUUGUUCGGAAUUACUGGGCGUAAAGGGCGCGUAGGCGGCGUGUCAAGUCAGGCGUGAAAGCCCCGGGCUCAACCUGGGAACCGCGCUUGAGACUGGCAUGCUCGAGUUCGGGAGAGGAUGGUGGAAUUCCCAGUGUAGAGGUGAAAUUCGUAGAUAUUAGGAAGAACACCAGUGGCGAAGGCGGCUCACUGGCCCGGUACUGACGCUGAGGCGCGAAAGCUAGGGGAGCAAACAGG
rnacentral:rRNA from 1 species